rnacentral:rRNA from 1 species
CCUACGGGUGGCAGCAGUGAGGAAUAUUGGUCAAUGGACGAGAGUCUGAACCAGCCAAGUAGCGUGAAGGAUGACUGCCCUAUGGGUUGUAAACUUCUUUUAUAUGGGAAUAAAAUGUUCCACGUGUGGGAUUUUGUACGUACCAUACGAAUAAGGAUCGGCUAACUACGUGCCAGCAGCCGCGGUAAUACGGAGGAUCCGUGCGUUAUCCGGAUUUAUUGGGUGUAAAGGGAGCGUAGGUGGAUUGUUAAGUCAGUUGUGAAAGUUUGGGGCUCAACCGUAAAAUUGCAGUUGAAACUGGCAGUCUUGAGUACAGUAGAGGUGGGCGGAAUUCGUGGUGUAGCGGUGAAAUGCUUAGAUAUCACGAAGAACUCCGAUUGCGAAGGCAGCUCACUGGACUGCAACUGACGCUGAGGCUCGAAAGUGUGGGUAGCAAACAGGAUUAGAUACCCGAGUAGUC